rnacentral:rRNA from 1 species
UACGGAGGGGGCUAGCGUUGUUCGGAAUUACUGGGCGUAAAGCGCACGUAGGCGGCUUUGUAAGUUAGAGGUGAAAGCCCGGGGCUCAACUCCGGAAUUGCCUUUAAGACUGCAUCGCUAGAAUUGUGGAGAGGUAAGUGGAAUUCCGAGUGUAGAGGUGAAAUUCGUAGAUAUUCGGAAGAACACCAGUGGCGAAGGCGGCUCACUGGACGAUUGUUGACGCUGAGGUGCGAAAGCGUGGGGAGCAAACAGG